AGCAGCCGCGGUAAUUCCAGCUCCAAUAGCGUAUAUUAAAGUUGUUGCAGUUAAAAAGCUCGUAGUUGAAUUUCGGGGUUAGUAGGUCGGUCAUGCCACUGGUAUGUACUGGUCUCACUGAUUCCUCCUUCCUGAUGAACCGUAAUGCCAUUAAUUUGGUGUUGCGGGGAGACUGGACUGUUACUUUGAAAAAAUUAGAGUGUUUAAAGCAGGCUAACGCUUGAAUACAUUAGCAUGGAAUAAUGAAAUAGGACGUUUGAUCCUAUUUUGUUGGUUUCUAGGAUUGACGUAAUGAUUAAUAGGGAUAGUUGGGGGCAUUAGUAUUCAAUUGUCAGAGGUGAAAUUCUUGGAUUUAUUGAAGACUAACUACUGCGAAAGCAUUUGCCAAGGAUGUUUUCAUUAAUCAAGAACGAAAGUUAGGGGAUCGAAGACGAUCAGAUACCGUCGUAGUCUUAACCAUAAACUAUGCCGACUAGGGAUCGGAUGAUGUUAAUUUUUAAUGACUCAUUCGGCGCCUUAA
rnacentral:rRNA from 1 species